AGUUCCUUUACGUAUGAGUUGGUCUCUAAUAACGCAUAUAACCUCUUAAAUCACUUUAUUUAAAACUCAAUAACAUUACUUUUGUUUUGUGUCACACCAUAUGACCAGUUUUGAUUCGGUAUUCAAGAACAUAUUGAUCUGGGUAUCAAUAUCAUAUUGACUGACUGGUGAUUAUGCAUCUACAGCUCCAUGAGUUGGCUUUAUCCAUUAGAGGGUGCGUCUUGCUAUGCCGAUGACUAUAGUUAUUUGUACUUCCAGCAUUGGUGAGUUCAAAAGGCGCCUUCAACAUGUUUAUGCCUUCCAUGGCCACAUCAGAAAAAAGAGGGCAAUCCAGCAACUUGUGUCGUUAUUCAACCAUGGUCUGGUGGAUGUCUAAAGAAGCUCCCAAAGUGGAAUUAUGAUCGGUCCAG